rnacentral:rRNA from 1 species
CAGGCCUAACACAUGCAAGUCGAACGCAGUAGCAAUACUGAGUGGCAAACGGGUGAGUAUAAUGUGGGAAUCUGCCUUUUGGUUUGGAAUAACACGGGGAAACUUGUGCUAAUACCGAAUAAGCCUUCACAGGGAAAGUUUUAACGCCGAAAGAUGAGCCCGCACUUGAUUAGCUAGUUGGUAAGGUAAAAGCUUACCAAGGCAACGAUCAAUAGCUGUUCUUAGAGGAAGACCAGCCACAUUGGGACUGAGACACGGCCCAGACUCCUACGGGAGGCAGCAGUGGGGAAUCUUGCACAAUGGGGGAAACCCUGAUGCAGCGAUGCCGCGUGAGUGAAGAAGGCCCUUGGGUUGUAAAACUCUUUCGUCGGGGAAGAAAAUGACUGUACCCGAAUAAGAAGGUCCGGCUAACUUCGUGCCAGCAGCCGCGGUAAUACGAAGGGACCUAGCGUAGUUCGGAAUUACUGGGCUUAAAGAGCUCGUAGGUGGUUAAAAUAGUUGAUGGUGAAAUCCCAAGGCUUAACCUUGGAACUGCCAUCAAAACUUUUUAGCUAGAGUGUGAUAGAGGUAAGUGGAAUUUCUAGUGUAGAGGUGAAAUUCGUAGAUAUUAGAAAGAACACCAAAUGCGAAGGCAACUUACUGGGUCAUC